GCCAAAUAGGUAUUAUCCGAUCCUAUUAAUAUGGAAUCCAUUUUAACAAUUAAAACUUGUCCCGGUUUUAAUUUUAGUUCUAGUCCAUUUUUUGUUUGAGAUAGACAUACAUUUUCACAAAUAAAUUGUCCCAGGCUAAUUAUUGUAAUUAUUUUUUCAUAAUAUUUAGAAUCAUAAUCAUGAUGGAGAAAAUUCCAAUUCAAACGGAAUGUAUUUAAUUUUAUGUUGCUGCAUGGAUCGGGCUUUUAAAUUACCUCGGUUUCAUCCAUUAAAAAAUUUUUUAAUGCUUGACAAUUUUUUUUAACUUGUCCAGUUUCAAAUUUUUAUUCAUUGAGAUCUAAUUAUGAGUUAUUAAAAGGUAAACUGAAUAAAAUUUUGAAACUUGAAGUGCUAUUCCUACGGGACCUAAUGAAUUCUUAAUUGAAAUUUGAAGAUCCUUUUUUAUUUUUUUAUUCUCUUUUUUAUUUUCAGCUCGAUGUAGUAUUUUACAUUGCUAAAAGGUCCUAUUUCAAAACAAUCAUAUGAUGACAAAAUUAUCAUGGAUUGGCAUUCUGUAUUUCUGUUCAACAA